UUUGAUCAUGGCUCAGAACGAACGCUGGCGGCAGGCCUAACACAUGCAAGUCGAGCGAGACCUUCGGGUCUAGCGGCGGACGGGUUAGUAACGCGUGGGAAUAUACCCUUCACUACGGAAUAGCCUCGGGAAACUGGGAGUAAUACCGUAUACGCCCUUUGGGGGAAAGAUUUAUCGGUGAAGGAUUAGCCCGCGUCUGAUUAGAUAGUUGGUGGGGUAAUGGCCUACCAAGUCUACGAUCAGUAGCUGGUUUGAGAGGAUGAUCAGCAACACUGGGACUGAGACACGGCCCAGACUCCUACGGGAGGCAGCAGUGGGGAAUCUUAGACAAUGGGCGCAAGCCUGAUCUAGCCAUGCCGCGUGAGUGACGAAGGCCUUAGGGUCGUAAAGCUCUUUCGCCAGAGAUGAUAAUGACAGUAUCUGGUAAAGAAACCCCGGCUAACUCCGUGCCAGCAGCCGCGGUAAUACGGAGGGGGUUA
rnacentral:rRNA from 1 species